CAUAAACAGCUGUCAGGCACACACACACUCGUGACUGCCCACUGCCCCGGAAACAUCAGAGCACAUCUCUGCCCCGAGAGUGAAGGGGUGAAGAGAUGCGUGAAAGUACUGCAAUACCAAAUCUCUCUACCUGGGUGCGGAUUCUUUGUGGUAGCUGGUUACCUACCAUGCCUAACCUCAUGAUACCACUAUUUCAGGGGUUGUGAGCCUUCCUGGGUGUGUCUCGACACAACGGGGGGUAUUUUCUCCUGACUCAAAAUCACUGGAAUGAUCAAUAUCCUCGUCAUGCCACCCCGCCUUCUAUCCACCUCCACAUGCCCACCACGCUGGCAGCAGAUGAGGGCCUCUGAACAACACGCAUACACAAGUCAGCACCCAGGCUGACGCGUACGCUGAGAGAGGCUCUCCAAGAUGUGACUCUACGAGAUGUGAAAUGGUUAAAACGGCUGGGGUGGUGAUGGGGGAUUGUCGAAGAAUAAUUGCCUGGAGACGGUGCAGAAAUAAGCCCUAAUGGUCAGUAAUCCAAGCCUGGAGAGGCCCUCUCCACA